rnacentral:misc_RNA from 1 species
UUUCCAUAGGUGAACCUGCGGAAGGAUCAUUAUUGCAUAACCGAGGUGCGAGGGCUGUCGCUGACCCGAAAGGUCGUGCACGCCCGAGUGCCCUCACACACAUCCAUCUCACCCCUAUGUGCACCACCGCGUGGGUCCCCCUUUGGCUUGUUCGGAGGGGGGCUUACGUUUUCACACAAACUUUGUAUGCAGUGUAGAAUGUAUUUUUUGUUUUUGCGAUCACGCAAUCAAUACAACUUUCAACAACGGAUCUCUUGGCUCUC